UCCUCUUGUUUCUCUAUGUGUAUUUCUCGCUCUCUUUAUUCCUCUGCAGCAACUAAGAGCAGCACAGCACCAGUGACUACACUACAUUGAUAGAACUCAAAGUUAAGAAGACAUAAGUCUAAAAUAGUAAAACUACUAAGAAAUACAAAAUAAUAGUUAAGUGGAAGGAGACUGAAAUUGAAUUGUGGGAUUGAAGUCGAAGCUAGUGAUAGGACGAAGAAGAGAAUCCGCGUGUUGGGAAUGAAGAGCACAUGAGGAGUAGGAUUCGGAGAAGGAGGAAUCGCAAGAGCCACAGGUCAUGAUGGCUUGUCUCAAUGUUUUAAAGAAAGAGAUCAAGUUUUUGGAGGGAGCCUUCCCCACUACGAAUCCACUCCUUCAAAUCCUUUCCGCAACCGUUGACGAACUGACUUGUAAGUUCGUGGAUAAUUCUGGGCGGCGACACGUGAUUCACGCCAAUAUCACUGAAACGUAUCCCAACACACCUCCUGUAUGGUUCUCAGAAUCUGAAGAUAGCAAAAUAACCAACGCACUGUCCGUACUAAGCAAUACGUCUGGCUUGGACAAUCACCUACUCCAUCAAGUUAAAAUCCUUUUAAGAGAGUUAUGUUCUGCGUAUACAUUACCUCUACCGCCCGAAAUUCAUCUCCAGCCAAAUAACAACGAGUCUUCCAGUGAAUCUCCGUCGCAUUCCGGGGAUAACAUGGAAGAUGAAGAUGAUGAGGAGGAAGAAGAUGAAGAGGAGGAGGACGACGACGACGAAGAUGAGGAGGAAGAAAUCCCGUUGGACAUUGAAGAAGCAGUAUCAAAAAAAGCUAGACAAGAUGAUGAGCUUCAUACGGAGCACUUACAAGUAUUGGAGCGUUUAAAGGCCAAUCAAAGAAGAGAUUACCUCAAAGGAACUGUGUCGGGAUCUGUUCAAGCUACUGAUAGACUAAUGAAAGAACUUAGAGAUAUAUAUCGAUCUCCUAGUUUUAAAUCUGGAGCAUACGAGGUUGAAUUGGUUAACGAUUCCUUAUACGAGUGGAAUGUUAAAAUCAUGAGGGUUGAUCCUGAUUCCCAGCUAGCUGAAGAUCUCAAACGAUUAAAAGAAAGAGAGGGGAAAGAUCAUAUCUUGAUGUCAUUUAUUUUCAAGGAUACGUUUCCAUUUGAUCCUCCAUUUGUUCGAAUGGUACAUCCUGUAUUACAUGGAGGAUACGUAUUAGAAGGGGGUGCUCUGUGUAUGGAACUCAUGACACCCCAAGGAUGGUCGUCUGCGUACACUAUAGAAGCAGUUAUUAUGCAACUCUCUGCAACGUUGGUUAAAGGGAAGGCCCGAAUACGAUUCGAUGCUCCUAAGGGUACAUACAGCCUUGCACGCGCUCAACAAUCUUUCCGAUCUUUAGUUCAUAUUCAUGAAAAAAAUGGUUGGUUUACUCCUCCACAAGCAGACGGUUAAUAAAAAACAAAAUCCUUCGUUCAAAUUCGUAUAUUUUGACACUAAAUACUUCCAUAGAUAGGUUUUAAUCCUUUUUAACUCUGCCUUCUUAUGACUGAAAAAAAAAUACAAAGAAGAAGAAGAUAAUGAUGAUAAUAACUUAAUUAGAUUUUACAUGAGAAUUUUUUUCCAAAAUUGCUGUUUGGGGAGGAUAAUGCAAUAAUUGAAUAUUCUAUGUAUUGUCGAUAUAUUAUUAAGGAUAUAAUUGUUGAUUACCAUUUUGAUGAAAAUUACUAAUUCAUGGGUAGUGUUCUGUGGCAGCUGGUAAAGUUCAAAUACCUACAGUUAUCAUACAUAAAUUACUCGUAAAUAGCUAUAAAAAAAUAAUUUUAAUCCGGGACUAAAAUUUGUCAAAUUUUGUCAAAAAACCUAAUCACAAUUUUCAAAUUAAUAAUAUUCAUUGUUGGGAAAAUUUAUCUUUUCUUAAAAAAAAAAAAUAUUUGUUAAAAAGCCGCCGCCCCCCUCAAGAAAAAUCCUAGUAACGGCCCUGAUUUUAAUAAAUUAGGGUUGGCGUCAGUUGGUAUCUUUAGUAAAUAUAAAUGUGCACCUCGCUUUUCAUUAUUUCCUAUUUGAAAAUAAAUAAUUUUUUAAGAAUA
rnacentral:misc_RNA from 1 species